CAGCAGCCGCCACGGUAAUACGAAGGGUGCAAGCGUUACUCGGAAUUACUGGGCGUAAAGCGUGCGUAGGUGGUGGUUUAAGUCCGUUGUGAAAGCCCUGGGCUCAACCUGGGAAUUGCAGUGGAUACUGGGUCACUAGAGUGUGGUAGAGGAUAGUGGAAUUUCCGGUGUAGCAGUGAAAUGCGUAGAGAUCGGAAGGAACAUCUGUGGCGAAGGCGACUAUCUGGGCCAACACUGACACUGAGGCACGAAAGCGUGGGGAGCAAACAGGAUUAGAUACCCCAGUAGUCCCUGUCUCUUAUAC
rnacentral:rRNA from 1 species